UAGGGCAAAAUUAUCACCGAUUAG
rnacentral:miRNA from 1 species